CUGAGUGUAAAAACUCCCAAACCCACUGUGAACAUACCACUGUUGCUUCGGCGGAUGCGCCCCGGGCGCGCCCUACAAAGGCGUGCCCCGGACCAAGGCCACCGCCGGGGGACCGAAACUCUUGUUUUCCUAAGGAUUCUCUGAGUGUGAUUAUUAAAUCAAAUCA
rnacentral:misc_RNA from 2 species